CCAAAACCUCUUUGCUCCUCUGGUAGGCAUGUGAAAACGUGGCUUGGGUCAGGCACAGCCCCCCAUCUCGACCCGCACCCCCCGAGCCCCAGGUGUUCUUCGACUUUCCUUGGCAUUGAUGGAAAGGUCACUCGUUUCCCCCUUCCACCAGCACAUGCCUGGACACCACCCUUUGUUUCGCCGUCGCCCCGUAUGCCUCCGGCGACACACAUCCACACCAUCUGCUGUGGGGUAGGCCAGUGCCACGCGUGGUCACACGGUCUCCACCUCGGAUUCGCCCCUGUUCCUGGUGGCACGUGUCCUGUAAAGCGCGGUCGGCUUUCCGGAGCCCCUGGGCUUUUAGAAGCGGGGCAAGCCACUGAUAUUUCAAAGGAGGUGGGAGGCAGAGGGCUGAUGGAUCAGUGAAUUUGCAGCUGACGCUAGGCCUUGAGACCUAUGGGAUCAUUGUGUGCUGCAGCGAGGCCCUGCCGGCCUCUCCAGAUGUGGUGAGCCCAUCCUAUCUCAGUGGGAGGGGGCCAGAAUCGGAUCUCAACGGGAGUCCGGAGAACACAGCAGGCGUCCUGAAGCUCCCCCUCCCUCGGUGGAAGUCGGCUCAAGCAGAUCCUGAGGACAGGACCCCUGGGGGUUUGGGCCUGGGACAGGACGAGACACCCGCGGCCCCCUCUCCCACGCCGCCCCAAACAGGACCCAGGAUCCAGCCGCCGCCGCGGCGGCAGCGAUAUUUAAAGGGGACGCAGCCUAUCUGUCAGGAGCGGAGCGCGAGUCGGCUCAGCCAAUGCGCAUGCGCGAGGCGCGAGCGGUUUCUCCCGUCACAGUGGUUCCCACGGUUGUCUUAGAAACCAGACCCCGAGGCUUGGCAGAGCAGGAGCCCUCGGUGGCAGUGCUUGGGUGUCGAGGCUCUGAGGCUCCGGCCUCACCUCUCCACGGGGUCGAAGGGAACGUCUCCGGAUGCCAGGAGUCGCAAAGGGCCGACCAUGAUGAUGAAACCCCAGGCAGAGACGGGGGAAGCAGCACGGGAUCCCAGCCUCAGGCCUGCACGGACGGUGUUGGUUGGGAAAAGAGACCGCUCAGGAUGGGGAUAUUUCAAUUGCUCCGGGACCGAAGAAUCUCCUCACGUGGGCCAGGCCUUCACACACCCAAAGCGGAAACGCGUCGGCGAAAAGGAUUGACAACCGGUCUCAUGACCCAGGCAGAGAGGCAGAAACAGGCUCACCAAAGACAGGCCGCCAUGCGAGAAACAGCUUUGUGGUGCACAGGGCACAUUCGGCCAAGGACACACACGCACACGGGCACACACACACAAACUGACAGAGAGAGGGAAAGAAACACACAGAGACUGAGAGACAGAGAGAGAAGAGAGAAUGGGAGACACACACACACAUACACACACAGACACACACACAGAGUCUUAUAGCAAAGGCAUUGAAAGACACACACCCAGGCAACCCCUGAGGCUGUGGGGUUCUGCUUUCGACGAGAACGACCCUUCGGUGAGAGAGCACCCCAGGGGCACGCAGGCCGUCCUGUCCUCGAGAUCACCGCGUCACGACUUUUGGGGAGACUCACCCCCACCAACACCGUCCAGAGAGGCCUGAGGGAGGGAUUCCAUGCUGCCUUCUCCGGACUCUGCGUCGGGUUUCCUCACCCUGUUCGGCCCUUUGUGACUCUUGGCAUCCGGAGACUUUCCCCUCGACCCAGUGGAGCCGUCAGGCCGGAGCCUCAGAGCCUUGACACCCAAGCACUGCCACGGAAGUCUCCCCCUUUGCCAAGCCUCGGGGACUGGUUUCUAAGACAACCGUGGGAACCACUGUGACGGGAGAAACCGCUUGUGCUUCGCGCAUGCGCAUUGGCUGGGCCGACUCGUUCUCCCCUCCUGGCAGUCAGGCUGCGUCCCCUUUAAAGAACGCCACCGCUGAGAACUGACCCUCACAUCUCCCUUCCUGAAUUUCUUUAGGGAAAGCAACAACCAUCCCUGUAAGCCAUGGGUUUUCAUGCGGAGGAAGGAGAGGGCUAGUUGUCUGAGAGGGUAACUGCUUAAGGCUGCAGACUAGGAAAUGGGAUUCCAGGUUUAAGAUAGCUCCUUUCUGGACCUCAGUCCUUCACCUAGUCACCUAGUCACAGGGUGGAUUGCCUCUAAGGAUACUUAGGGGAAAAGGAACUAAAUUUGGGAUGGUUCUCCUUGCUUUAAGCCUUGAUAGGAGACGGGGAGGCCAACCCUUCUCUGCAGACCGUGAUCCUCACUAGACAGAGGAGCUCCAAACCUGCCCAUCUCAUCCCAUGCACCGACGGUGCCUGGCCUGGCUCCAAACUCCCGAAAGGAACUAUUUUACAGGUGCCAAAAAGGGGACAGUGUUGAUAAUAAUAAUAAAAUGAAACAAUCUGAUUGGGGCAUUGCUGGAUCAGAAAAUGUGUGACCUUUUUAAAGUUAAAUUGUUAAAAAAUUUUAACUAUUAAACAUUUUAAAUAUUAA